rnacentral:rRNA from 1 species
GUGCCAGCCGCCGCGGUAAUACGUAGGGGGCAAGCGUUGUUCGGAAUUACUGGGCGUAAAGGGCGCGUAGGCGGCACGGCAAGUCAGGAGUGAAAGCCCGGGGCUCAACCCCGGAACGUCUUUUGAAACUGCCGAGCUAGAGUGCGGAAGAGGCAACUGGAAUUCCCAGUGUAGCGGUGAAAUGCGUAGAUAUUGGGAAGAACACCUGAGGCGAAGGCGGGUUGCUGGGCCGACACUGACGCUGAGGCGCGAAAGCCAGGGGAGCGAACGGGAUUAGAAACCCCGGUAGUCC